UCGCGAUUUGAAAAGGCCCCGAGCGCUCGGCGGCCGGGAUCUCGCGAGAGGAGCGGACGAGGCCCCGCGACUUGGGGAGCGAGCGGGGGCGGGGCUCCUGCGCGGCCACCUGCGGAGAACGCGCCAGCAGCCAAGGGGCGCGGGCGUAGGGGUCCUCCGGGGGAGGGGCGAUUGGAUACAGGAAGUACGCCAGCGUCGUCUCUGGAGAGGGAUGCUCGACGUCGCCACCGUGCCCCAGAGUCACUCGGGGACCUUCAGUCCGGUGAAUCCGUGACUGGUGGCCGCACCGGUUGACUACUUUCUCUGAGAAUACUGCAAGUUCCCUGUCUUAUGUCCAUUCUCUGCUCUCCUUACCGAAUAGAAGCAGCUUUGCUUCGAGUGACAACGGGCCCAGUUGGGCGUGCAUAUAUAUGGUAACCAUGAUUCAACAAACUAAGGGCAGAUCGACUUGCGAACAGCUGCAGAGGAAGAAGAUAAAGACUUGAAACUCUGCUGACGUCAGGGAACCCCUAUAUAAGACUUUGACUGUCCAUAACCAGGCUUGAUGUUUUCUGAAGGAGAUUAGCUCCAUCGCAGCCCUUUCAACAGACGCAUUCAUUACUGAC